UACAGAGGGUGCGAGCGUUGUCCGGAAUUACUGGGCGUAAAGGGCGCGUAGGCGGCUUGGUAAGUCGGGGGUGAAAGUCAGCGGCUCAACCGCUGGACUGCCUUCGAGACUGCCUGGCUUGAGCAUGGUAGAGGCUGGCGGAAUCCCCGGUGUAGCGGUGGAAUGCGUAGAGAUCGGGAAGAACAUCGGUGGCGAAGGCGGCCAGCUGGGCCAUUGCUGACGCUGAUGCGCGACAGCGUGGGGAGCAAACAGG
rnacentral:rRNA from 1 species